rnacentral:rRNA from 1 species
AUUGAACGCUGGCGGCAGGCCUAACACAUGCAAGUCGAACGGUAACAGGAAACAGCUUGCUGUUUCGCUGACGAGUGGCGGACGGGUGAGUAAUGUCUGGGAAACUGCCUGAUGGAGGGGGAUAACUACUGAAAACGGUAGCUACUACCGCAUAACGUCGCAAGCCCAAAGAGGGGGACCUUCGGGCCUCUUGCCAUCGGAUGCGCCCAGAUGGGCGUGGUUAGUAGGGGGGGUAACGUUUCACCUAGGCGGGGAUCCCUAGCUGGUGAGAGAGGAUGGCAGGCCGCAUUGGAGCGUAGACGCGGUCCAGAGUCCUGAGGGAGGCAGCAGUGGGGAAUAUUGGGCAGUGGGCGGAAGCCUGAUGCAGCCAUGGCACGUGUAAGAAGAAGGCGUUGGGGUUGUGAAGUACGUUCAGCGGGGAGAAAGGGAGUAAAGUUAAUACCUUUACUGAUUGACGUUACCCGCAGAAGAAGCACCGGCUAACUCCGUG